UGUCGUGGCGCCGAGUCUGAUUGUCGCUGCCAUUCAGCGAGAGCCAGGUGGGGCGUCCACCCCAGAACCCCCUUUUCAAGACCCCGCCAAGUCAGCCCGCUCCGCAGGGUCCCAAUUCAAGACCUAAAACUGCACCUGGAGAUCUAAACCCUAGUUCCGCACAGCUCUACCGAUCGAGCGCCUCCGCUUCCUCCCCUGUGAACUGGCUCCCCUGUAACCACCGGCCCCUGGAGGCUUGGCCCAGCCCUCAGUGCUCAAGAAGCCGGGGUCACGGCAUGGGGGGCGAGCAGGCAUGAAGAAAGGGAAGAGGCCAGCUUGGCAGAAACUCAGCAAGGCCUGGCCACUGGUUGGCACCCAGGAGGCCAUGCUGCCUGCCAUGAGGCUGCCCAGCCUGAGCUGAGAUGGGGGGUCCACAGAACGAGGGCUGGCUGGUGAGAGAGGCUGGACCGUUGAGCCUGGGCAGGGCCCUGGGGAAGCCAUUACAAACCUAGGGAGGCGGGCACUGCUAGGAAGAGUCCCAGCCCUGGGCCUCCACUUUCUCAUUCGUGCAAUGAAGGAGGUGGACUAGAUAAUCCUGAGGCCCUUCCAGCGCAAAUCCCAGAAUCCUAGCUACUGGGCAAAACUAAAUCCAGCAAUCCCUCCGUUUAACCACAGGGUCUGCAGACCUGGCUCCCUGCACACUGGCACCUCGGGCUAGACAAGGCCUGUGAGUGCAUGUGCAUUGUUCUCUCUCACCGAGAUGAAUGGAUAAAGCAGCUAUUGAGGGCACAGGCAGAAGAAAACUGGGUGAACUGCAAUGCGUUCAAUUUAAACUAUCGAUUUCCCAGACUUCUUUGCAAUGAGGGGUGUCCAUAUGACCCAACUCUGGCCAAGGAGAUGGGAACAGAACUGUCCUGAGUGAGAAUUCUAAGAAAGACACAGUAGUAUGUACCUUUUGCCCUUGACUUUUUUUCUUCCUGCUCCUCCCCCUCCUCCUCCUCCUUCUCCUCUUAUUUCUCAGAAACAUGGAUGUGAUGCCUGGAGGGGAAGCAGCCAUCUUGCAACCAGGAAGAAAGAAGUCUCCUACUAAGGAGGUCGGACAGGCAGCCAUCAACAACAUCUGAAUGACUUCAUUGUGGAGUUCUGGCUUCUUGAGAAAAUUCAGCUCCUAUUACAUACAUGUGCAGUAGCUCGUUAUGUGUUCCGUGCAGGUAGCACGGCCCUACCUGAUACGAGUGAGGGCCCAGCUGGGAGGACAGCGUUUCAUCCUGAGAAAGCCCCUCCCCUGGAAGACCUCCCUGCCAGGCACAGCCCCACGGGCACAGGCUGGCACAGCCAGCAUGUCGAGGACACACACUCCACCAGCUCUCCUCUUGGAGUGGGUCCUGCAUGGCCCCUUCCCUUCGCUACCUUGAUGCCAAGGCCUUAAUUGGGGGGAAGGGAAGAAAGCAGAGGCCGCCAUAGCGGGAAAGUCGGAAAUAAAAUCUCCCUCUGCCUUCCCCCCCAGGAAAAAAACAAGCCGUGACAAAGUCUGGAUGAGGUUUGUUUUGAAGUGAAAAAUCCACGCCAGUUCCAUUAGUUUGGAAAACCAGUUGCUGCCUGAAUAACUGAAACCUGUCCUAUAAGCGUGAACUGUCACCUCAAGGUGCUGGCCUCUAAUUGUGAGCACACGUCGGCCAGAGCUGCUGGUUCUCCAGACUGGAGCACGUGACGCCUCCUCCCCCAGCCCUUCCACUCUGACAAUAUGCCACCAUUGCCGCUCCCAGUGAUGCCCCUGGGAGAAAGCCAAGCGAUGCUGCCCUUCGGAGAUAAUGGCGUUGGAAAUGCAAUGCUAAUGGCUCCCCAGACAAGACCAGAAUAGCCUCGUGUUCUGCCUUCCUGGCGCACAGAGGCCGCAGCCUGUGAGCAUCCGCAGGCGCCUCACGCCCCGCCCUCCCCGAGUGCCCGGAGCCAGCUUCAUGGCGAGAGCCACCUGUUCAUCAUCAUAGAGUUUUGUCCAACCCGCUGGAUGGGCUCAGAGCAGAGGCGCAGCUGAGUGUUUGAGCCAGGAGAACCUGCGGCCCAGCAGGCACCUCCAUUCAGACUAUAAACUCGCUUUGCAAGUUGAUCAUCACCCACUAACUGGGCCAUGUUUGCCAUGCAGUAAAGAUGGAUUUGAAUCCACUUAUUUUCUUUUGCACCCCAGCUCCCACCCCCACCCAAAGCCUGAGCUGGUGUUUAAGAAAACAAUAAAAAUGACGUGGGCUGGUGGACUGUUGACCUUCUUUAUAUGGAAGUCACGUGAAGGCUGCAGACCAACUGCCAGGGGCAAGAGGAACGUCCCUGCACUUCUCCCAGGAGGCCUGGCGUCCCGGGGCUGCUGCUGGCCUGUCUUGGGAAGGGGGCUCAAUUCUGAUGACAGUGGGCAUUCAAGAAGGAUGCUGGGCAGGACUUGUAUCCAAGCUGAGGUGUGGCUGGUGGAGUCGAUGGGUAUCAAGCUCGCUAUUCUGGCCAUUCGCUGGAACAGCCCUGGGCGCACCCACUCCCUGACACAUUGUUAGAACCCACAACUGUCCUCCUACGUUGAACUCACAACUUCCUGCUUUAGCCCUGGGAGGAGGGCUGCAGCGGUUAGCCUGGGAAUCAACCGAAUUGCCAACUCUCAGAUGAGAUCUGCAAUUCAUGCCUUAGAUUUUGUAUGCCACCUCUGGGCAGCCAGCUGCUCGGCAAGGCAGAGCGCCUGCCGGAGAGAGACCGGGUGGAGGCGACCCUGACGCCUUGGAUGUCCCGUCCCAGCUCGGGCUGAAGGCAGCCCCUGGAGCGAGCCGACCACAGACCUCUCAGCGGCCGGCCCGGCUCCUACCCCUCGGACCAGGAGAGCAUCGCGAGGUGGUGCUUUAAACACCAACUGGGGAGCAUUUUGUUCGCAGCAACAGAUGGCUAACAGGAGGCGAUGGGCCACCCAUGAGCCAGAUGCUCCGGAGGUGGGGCCUGCGCAUCAGCAUUUUAACAGGCCCCGCUGCCCCUGAGAGGGGACUGAUUGGCUCAGCCCCAUAACCCGUUCUCGGCCCGGGCGGACCAGAGCGAGGCCUCCCGAGAAUGGGUCCGGCCACUUGCCCUUGCCCACUCACCUCUCAGGGUGUCUGUCACAUGCUGCCUGAACUCAUGGAAAACAUUUAAAAAUAUUAACUAAGCUGUGGCCCUGUGAGUGCUGAUUAUUCAUGUCCUGAUGAAGGUAAACAGGUGAAAAGCAUCCAAGGCAAGAGGUGGGACUGAUCAGGGACAUCUUCCGGGGGGAGCUGGCCUGGAGCAGGAGGCUGGGCCUGGAGGGAGGCCCCGGGCUGCAAGGCGAUGGGCUGGCAGUAAGGCUGGUCUGGCUGGCAGGUUCAGAAAGUCCUGCUGGGGAGGAACAGGGUUUUGAAGUUUCCAUUCAGGCUCCAUUUUUCUUCUCUGGUUCUCCCACCAGCAGAGGGAGAGAGGACUGGCUGGUGCCCAGGUGCCAGGGCCUGUGACAGACUCCCUCAGGCCCCGCUGCCGGCCCCACUGUGCUGAUGAGAAAGCUGACCGGGGCCUGGAGAGGCAGCCCCGGAGCCAAACCAGCAAGACCCAGGGCUUCCAAACCUGGUGGCAGGAUCCCGCUCUCUGCCCCAGCCAGCCCCCGCCCCUGUCAUUAGAGGAGGCCUCAGAGACCCAUCCAGCUGUAGCUCCCAUUCUCUCCUAAGGACCCCUGUGCGAGGGGCGCACACUUUGUGCUACCAGCUGCCCUUGCUGAGGACAGAACAAGAGAGAAGGGAUGUGGCUUGUAGCGGGAGAGGUCAGCCAGGCAGAGGGAAGACCUCCGGGUCCCAUGGGCAAAAUGAGCGACGUUGGCCAAUUUAUUCCUCUGGCAAACAUUUCUUGCUCAGCGAGAGGUGACGAUGCUACCUGCAGCGUCCAGGCCAAAGAACAGCUUCUCUGGAGAGGUGGGAGGGGGCGUGAUGGUGGCUUGCUGGAGCCCAUGCCGCUGGUCCUGAGCAGGCGCCCCGCUUCCUGGCCUGUGAGGAGGUAUUGGUGACAUUGUCUGUCCCAGGGGCGGGCGUGAGGGCCAGUUGAGAUAACACAUGGACAAUACCCACCACUG